UGCACAAGCAAGACUAGUGGAUGCUGAUUAAAACUAGUUAAUGAAGAUUUUGUUUUUGCCAUCUCCUCCCAAAAGUUAGACACAAUUUGGUUUUGCCUGCUUUGGGAGCUACGCAGAGGCGAGGUUUGUCUCAGCCUGAUGGAGAUGAGGGAACAACAGAAGGCUUCUGGAGAAUUAGUGAUGGAGGUUUAGGAGGCAUCUGCCUAGGGAUCUGAAUGUGUUAGUUCUCCCAGGGCCCACAAAACUGAAGUCUGGACUGGGCUCAAAUUAUGUUUCACACAGUUCUUUCUGUCAGUUUGAGCUCUAUGUUUCUAACCUCUCGAAUCCCUCUUUGGUGUUUAGCGUGAAAUUAAAUUCAGUAAAGUCACCAAACUCUACCUGAAGAAAUUAUAUUCUAAUUUCUUGCCAUUUGUAUUUCUUGCCAUUCCUAAUUUAUCUAAUCCUGUCUGCCAUACAAAGAAUCCAGGUCACAAAUGCGACUUGCACAAAGAAUAUUAAAAAUAAAAAAUCUUCAAAUAUAGCCAACUGGGUGACUAAGAGAUUAAGCAAAAAACUAUUAAACCCAGAGAUGCUGAUGUUAAAUGUCACCAAUUCUAUAAUGUCUAAAGCUUCUUACUCUUUGUUGCCUAUUAAUUAGCCCAUUUGAUAUCGAUCAUUUCAGGUUGGUCCCUAUUAAGCAUAAACAUGAAAGUCACCACCCCGGCUGAUGACUUCUCUGUGCAAGUCAAAUGAGGUUGAUCGCUUGAAAGGAUGGAAGAGUUCACCGCGGCUCCAGAAAAACAUCAAGUAUGAGAGCCUAGAUUAUGUCAGAAGACAUGCAGCAGCCCACGCAUUAGACUUGAAAUCUGUGCUCGCACCUGCCCCGACUCAUUUUUUUUCCCUUUGCAUUUAUUGAGAUGACACAAUGUCAACAGAAUUCUGCAAACUUUAUGACAAAAUUGUGACAGAUCUGCAAUGGCAGAAUGACUUAUGGAAAUGUUGAAGUGGCUUCUCAAUCAAGUCUCAGGAUAGCUUGUGACUCCAUUGUCUUAGAGGUCAGAAGUCAGACUCCACUGAGUAGAGACAUUGCUUGAUUCUGGUCCAAUUCUCUGCCAUAUGCUGGAGGUGGGAGGGGGGAACCAAGACUUUUAAUUGCUCUAUCCCUAUGUUUUCUCAUCUGCAUUCCCCAAGCUAAAAAUGCUUUCCAUAGCAGACUCCACUGUUUGCAGUGUGGUCUGAUGAGUUUUUAAAAUGCCUAAGAUCUGAUUCUCUAUGUUUCUGAAUCUUUUCAAAUUAUUUACCAUUGCCCAGAACAAAGUAGUAGACUGCCAUGAGCAUAAGAAGGUAGGUAAUUAUGCCACGGCAGCAUUUCACUCUCAUUUCAUAUGCAUGGAAAUAUCAUCACAAAGUAUAGACGAAUGACAGGUCAGACCUGUUGCAUACUGUGCAUUGGACAUCUUGUGUAUACUACAGGCUGGAGAUCUCCACCCUAUUGAGAACACAAACCAACUGUUAAGUAAGACUGGCAAGAGGGACACUCUGACCCCAGUGCUCUAGACUCUGCUUUAGGUCUGAUUUUCUCAGUUCAGGGUUGUAGUCCUACUCUAAAGGGCUCUCCAUGGACUACAGCUGCCCUCAGGCAGCUCCUCUCACUGCAACCAGCUACAACUGUGCCCUUUAAAAGGCUAAAGCUAACCACCAUGGGACUAAGAUUUAGGAAAGCUAGAGGUGGGGAAGGGGGCUGUGAAGAAGCAGAUUCUUAACUUCUUUCUUAAGUCUUAAAUUUCCAACCGUGCAAGCAGAGCUUAAUAUUACCCUUUGGAGAGUGUCUGCAGCUUCUCCUAACAGCAGUUUGAUCAUAGGAGAAAUCUGGUCCAGGCUGACAGGCAUUCGUUAUUUUCUGUUUUUGGAAUAUUCCUCCCAUUGCAGUUACCAAGUCUCUCUCAGCAUUUUCAGAUCUGGUUGCACCAUCUUUUUACCCUGACUUCGCUGAAGAGCAAAUAAAAAAUUCUUCUGCAAGAAAGAAAAUCUGUUG
ensembl:lncRNA